UGCCAGCGGCCGCUCAGGGCCGCGCCUAGGGGUUGGGUUUUCUUCUCUCCUACAGGUAGCAGGGACGCGUAGCGUGAGCCUGGACAUCGGAGCCCGCGGAGGGAGGGGCCGCCAGUUUCCCCCCACCCCCGGCCUGGCCUCGCCUUGUCCCCUCCGCAAAGCGGGACUGGCAGGCUGCAGCACCUGUGUGCCUAGGCGCCCACCUUCCCCAGCUAGCACUUCUCGGUGUUGCACGCUUUGCAGUGAGCAGUGAGAGGUUACUUGGGGAGCAUCAGUCAGAACUAGAAGUCAAGACUGGACAGGUCUGAGGAAGUGCGGUGCUCUGUCCGCACAGUGCUGUAAGGCUUCACCAGUCAGUGCUUGGUGUGAGCCUUGUCCAUGAUCCCCACUGAGCUUCUGAGAGCUUCAGCUGCACACAGAUGCCCCAGCUUCCAGCCCUCAUCGCCUUUUAGUUCUCUCUACGACUGCCACACAAGCACAUCGCAUACAACACCAGGUGGAUGAUGUACUUCUCGCUCUCUGCCCCCUUGAUGCGGACUCUGCUGCCGAAUGUAUCUGUCUCCACGAUGAGCUUGGCUGUGAGCAGCGAAAGGAAAAGAGACCUUAGUCUGUGGCUCAGGGGUGUGCAAGGCUUCUCUCCAAACUGUCUGCGCUUCGAAGUCAGA